rnacentral:rRNA from 1 species
CCUACGGGAGGCUGCAAUUAGGAAUCUUGCGCAAUGGGCGAAAGCCUGACGCAGCGACGCCGCGUGACUGAUGAAGUCUCUCGGGAUGUAAAGGUCUUUUCUGGAGGAAGAAAAAAAUGACGGUACUCCAGGAAUAAGCCCCGGCUAACUACGUGCCAGCAGCCGCGGUAAUACGUAGGGGGGCGAGCGUUGUCCGAAUUUACUGGGCGUAAAGCGCGCGUAGGCGGACUAUUAAGUUGGUGGUGAAAUCCCGAGGCUCAACCGCGGAACUGCCUCCAAAACUGUUAGUCUUGAGGUAUGGAGAGGAAAGUGGAAUUCCUGGUGUAGCGGUGAAAUGCGUAGAUAUCAGGAGGAACACCCAUGGCGAAGGCAGCUUUCUGGCCAUAUUCUGACGCUGAGGUGCGAAAGCUAGGGUAGCGAACG